ACGCAAGGCUAGUAGUAUGGGCCCCUUAAGAAGUAAUUCUUAUUGAAUAACUUGGCUGUAUCGGUGGACAACCCGCCUUUGGCGGGUCAAUACCGAGGGAAGUUCCUUCGUUGAACUCAGGAUAAACGUGAUUGUUUAUGCCGAGCAACGCGAGGUAACCCCGUAGAGGCUACACGCCGAGCUCCCACUUUGUCCGCCUUUGGCGAGACUUCGCGGGAUGAUGAUAUAGUCCGACACUCCAAGUAAUUGGAGA
rnacentral:ncRNA from 1 species